UUACAUUUCGCUCAUUUGUCUAGAUGUCAUGAAACUGUUAAAAAGGAAAAUUCUUCUUUCCACAACAAAGUACGCGCCUGUUUUUGGAGUAGCGGCCUCUACGUUUUGGAAUUUUGCCGUUAAAUAUGCUACUCUCACAUACGAUUCAUUGCGCUUUGGAGAGAUCGAAGAUUUCCCAGAGACCUCUGAUCCUGUCUGGAUUUUGGGAAAGCAGUUCAGCGCUCUAACAGAGAAGGAUGAUAUUCUGGCAGAUGUCACCUCACGUUUAUGGUUCACGUACAGAAAAAACUUCCAGCCAAUUGGUGGCACUGGGCCCACUUCAGACACCGGCUGGGGCUGCAUGCUUCGAUGCGGACAGAUGAUUCUUGGGGAGGCUUUGAUCUGCAGGCACUUAGGCAGAGACUGGAAAUGGAGUCCAGGUCAGCGGCAAAGACCAGAAUAUGUCAGCAUCCUCAAUGCUUUCAUUGACAAGAAGGACAGCUAUUAUUCUAUUCAUCAAAUAGCUCAGAUGGGUGUAGGUGAGGGCAAGUCUAUUGGCCAGUGGUAUGGUCCAAAUACAGUGGCACAGGUACUCAAGAAACUUGCUGUUUUUGACUCCUGGAGCCGAUUGGCAGUUCAUGUAGCUAUGGACAAUACUGUGGUCAUCGAGGAAAUCAAGAGGUUGUGUAUGCCAUGGCUGGAUUUCGACAGGGGUGCAUGUGCCGUUUCUGAAGAGCCUCGAGAGAUGAAUGGAGAUCUGGAAGGAGCUUGUGCUUUGGCCGAGGAGGAGACGGCUCUGUGGAAACCCCUUGUUCUGCUGAUUCCUCUAAGACUGGGCCUCAGUGACAUCAAUGAAGCCUAUAUUGAACCACUCAAGCAAUGCUUCAUGAUGCCUCAGUCUUUAGGAGUAAUUGGUGGGAAGCCAAACAGCGCUCACUACUUCAUUGGCUUUGUAGGUGACGAGCUCAUUUAUCUAGACCCUCACACCACUCAGCCAGCAGUGGACCCCAGUGAAGACGGCCAUUUCCCAGACGACUCAUACCACUGCCAGCACCCUCCAUGCCGGAUGCACAUCUGUGAGCUCGACCCUUCUAUUGCUGCUGUUUUUCCAUGACAGUGUGAACCCUGUUAAAUGCAAAUGAGCUGUUCUCCCCACCCACCAUCUCCACUUGUGUGUCUGCUUUUCGUGUGUUAUGUCAGAUGAUCAGCAAUCAGUGAUAGAGACAGACACGGAUGAAACAGAAAUACAGCUAAUUAGUCAAAAAUACCAAGUAAGAAACAUCUUAUAAUUUUAUAGUUGUACUGACACUAGCGAUUUUACUGUUUUUUUUUAUGUAUUCAAGGUUCCUGCGGGUCCUUAAGAAGUCUUAAAAUGUCUAAAUUAAAAUCCAGGAAAUUAAGGUCUUUAACUGUCUUUAAUUUACAGAAUAUUGGCUGUAGGUAGUUCAUUUUUAGCCGUUGUGCUUAAUGACGAUAGGUAAGCACAGUGGUCCACUGUAAAACAUCUAACAGUUUAUCAAUUUAGUAUGUGGGAAACAGGAGAGAAAUGACAAUCUUCGUGAUUUAUUAGAUUAUUAAGGUAGGUCGGCUACAGGCGCUUGCGUCGGUCUGCACCUGCGUGCUGUCAUUACGCGGUUGUGGAGGUGAGGUUCAAAAUGAAAAGAUGGGAUAGUGUAAAUUUAACGACGUGGCAAUGUGUAAAUUCUGCAAAAAGACCUUUUCGUUAGGGACCAUGGGGCUCAAAGCCGUUGAGUCGCAAAUGAAAGGAGGAAAGCACCAGCGGUACGUUGCAGCAGCUAGUCAUAGGGGGACUUGGUUAAUCUCUGCAUUGUUUGCAGCUCGACUAACAAUGAUAUUAGUUCGGACUACAGCUAAAGAUCUUUGCUCGGACUUAAUUCCUAUCAUUUUAGAUGGGGCCGGGCUUGGGCAGUAUUUAGAUUGCUGAGAUGUUAAGAUGUUAAAGAAGACUUUUUUUUUUUUUUGUUCCAACUUCCAAGUGGCCUACAGACCUUUUUCUUAGAACGCAAAAUUACCCAUUAUGUUUUAUUUCACCGCCAGACAUCCAAAAGGCAGGUACUGUGGGUUAUCCAAACUGUGACGAGGCACAAUUAAUUUAAAAAUAACGUGACAUCUUUGCUUCCAUGUUCCCCGAUUUGCAGCUUGCAAAGUCAUUCACCUGUGGUGAAAAUAAAACUGCAUAUGUCGCCAAAUAUGGCAUCGCUUCAUUCAUCAAAGUAAGAAGUCAUAUGUCAAAGGUUGUUGUGAGGACGUACAUUAUAGUUUAUUUUCAGCAUCCCUAUAUGGUUCCUUUAUACAAGGCAUUGUGAUGUUUAGUGUAAUCCAACUUCUGUUACAUUGUGAUGUAGAACAGAGCCAAAGGGAAAAAAAAGAAAGAAAAAGGUCUCAAAGAUAAGUAUUUUUUAUUUUUAUUUUUCUUACCGAGUUUACACAACAUUGCACAUAAUUGAUACCAAAUGGAAAACUUUCAAGUUUUGAUUUCAUUGUAGGAAGCCAAAAAUUGAAUAGCCUAUUCCAAAGAAAUUAUAAAAAAUUUUGGGUCUAAAAUUAUACUUGUUGAGGUCUUAAAAAGCAUUAAUUUUUACUUUUAGAUAGUGCAAGAACCCUGUUAUUAAAAACAUUCACUAAUUUAACCUGGUAAAUCUCAUUUAUCAGCUGCAGCUGAUCAUAGAGAGUUGCAACAGAUCUUUACCCCCAGUUUCUUUGCAAAUCCUGUUCUUUGGACAUGUUAAUACACGCCUGUCAAUCAAUUUAGUGGAUGGGGAAAACCACACUUCUACAUCACAUUCGGCCUCAAAAUCACUGAGAUUUGGAUCCUAUUGUAACUUUAGGAAUUUUACGGAGGGACUUGUUUUUAUAUCAAAAUCAGCUUUUAGUUGAAAACACUCGUUUAAACGCCUCCUCAGUUGUCGUUAGGUGUCAAACCUUUUGAAAGUAACUGGUUUGAAUUACGGUAUCAUAUGUGCCACUUUUUGUCCAUCAGGGCUUCUUCUGCCAAACUGAGGAUGAUUUUGAUGACUGGUGUGCACAGAUUCGUAAGGUUUCAAACUGCAGAGGUCUUCCCAUGUUUGAAUUAGUAGACAGUCAACCAUCUCAUCUAAUCACCGCUGAUGUACUUAAUCUCACUC